UAACGAAUCUUCCGCAAUGGGCGCAAGCCUGACGGAGCAAUGCCGCGUGUAGGAUGAAGCGUCUCUGACGUGUAAACUACUGUCAGGGGUCAGAACCAAUGAUUGACCCCAGAGGAAGUGGCGACUAACUCUGUGCCAGCAGUCGCGGUAAUACAGAGGCCACAAGCGUUAGUCGGAAUCACUGGGCUUAAAGGGUGCGUAGGCGGGCCUGCAAGCGUCCUGUGAAAUACCUCGGCUCAACCGAGGAACAGCAGGGCGAACUGCGGGUCUUGAGGCAGGUAAGGGCCGGAAGAACAGUCGGUGGAGCGGUGAAAUGCGUAGAGAUCGACUGGAAUGCCGAUGGGGAAGCCGUCCGGCUGGGCCUGUCCUGACGCUGAGGCACGAAAGCGUGGGGAGCAAA
rnacentral:rRNA from 1 species